CUGUAUGCUGCUUUUGCCGGGAAUAGAACAGGAAUGGAGUCUUAGAACUUCUAACCAUAACCACGAAGCAUCCCACUUCAGUGAGAGAGGAUUUCGAGUGGAGCUUUUCUGUAGAGCAACUCAAGCAAAAGUGUCAGUGACCUCCAUGUCAGAUGCCAUUAGUGUGUCACAACAGAACUCAUGGAAUCAAGGAGACAUGAAUCCAGAUUGCUAUCACCUGACAAAAAUGGGAGAUGCUUUGCCUCUUGUGUUAUCUGGGGCUCAAUAUCCAAAAAAGCAAUCUUCAAGGGUGUGGCACAAGGAGAGCGGAAUGAACAGCCAGCCCUCUUGUGCACUAGCUAGUGCAUCUGUUAAAAGUUGCAAGCUGCUCAGACAUUCCUAAACCACAGUCAUUGAGCCUUUGGAGACCACUAAUGCAGUGCACUAAAGACGACCUCUGUAACUCUGUGCUUGAGAGCCUGAAAACGGUUAAGGGACCAGCAUCUCAGCGAGUCAAAAGUGUAAAUCAGGUAUCAAAUUCUACAUGUUUAGACAAGGUCAAGAGAAAGCAAAGGGAAGGCAAGUAUGUUGGACGAGAAACCAGUGAAAAUGGAGGGACAGAAAAGAAAAAAAAAUGGAUCAGAAAUUUUCAUGCUGCCCAAUGGGCAAAGUAUGCCAUGUCAGUCAAAGUCAUUGAAAACAAUGGGAUUUUUUUUUGACCCCCUACCAUAUAGUCAUGAUAAAUAAAAAUAAACACAUAUUCAUAGCUGGUGAAUGAUGCUGAAUUUAAUAGCCUCGACAGACAAUAAUUCUCUAUCGAUUCAUGGAACAGACAGUCCUCCCAGCACUCCCCCAUCAGUGUGUCUCAGUUAUCACCUACUCCAAUCUUUUUACUUACUGAAUUUUUUUUCUGGCAAGGGUGCCAAUUAGUGUAUGUUGUGCUAAAAGUUUCUAUGUUCUGGAUGCCUUUUCACUGGGAACUGGACUGAGAUCAUGAGCCCCAUUCACAAUAGCCACUGAAUAACCACUAGAUUAUAACUGUCAUUUUCUACCAACCUUAUUUCAAUUAGGACAGCUCACGCUGAUGUAAAAAGUUUGAUGUUGCAUGGGGGGCUAAUGUUUAGUCCAUUUCUUAAAUCGUUAUUUAUCUUUCUUGACUUCAUUGUUACAAUCUCAUUGUGCUUCUUGUCUAGCAAAAUUAAACAAUCUAAAA